GGAUUCUGUGUCUCCCUCUCUCUCUGCCCUUCCCCCGCUAAGCACUCUGACAGUCUCUCUCUCUCAAAAAUUAAACAAAACGAAACAAAACACCAUUAAGCUAACUAGCCUCUUGCAAGCGAGUACCGCCCCCCCCCCCCCCAUCAAAUGGGCCUGGCAGCAGGGACUCCUUUCAAGGGUGCUGUGAGGAUGAAGCCAGAUGGAAAUGUUUGUCUCGAUGGCUGACACAGAUGAGGUCCCUUAAUCAGUAUUCUGUUCAUUCGGUGUUUUGUCUUGUUUUUUAAUUCACUACUCUUCCAGUUUUUUUUUCCCUUUUUAACUCUCCCCAAAAGAUUCACAAGUGCAUGGGGAAGAAAUACAGAAUGAAUACAGAUUAGGGCAUUUUUGCAAUAGAAUAGUGACAUCUCCAGACUUCAACCGUUUGGAUGGUUUCUUUGCUAAGCUUUCAGACUACUGGGUCAGCGAAGAGAACUGCCCCGUUUGAUGCCUAUAGCAGCUUUUUGGGCGCCUCAUGAGUUUACUUCUACCUGGAGAAUGACUGUCAGAGAAUCGGCAGGCCCCGGAAAUCACCUCCAGUUGAAGCCAGUGUUUACCAUCCUGCCUGGUAAAAUUUCCUCCUGUGUAGAGAUGCUUGUCUUUUUUUAGAAUUUCUUUCUUUUUUUAAUUGAGGUGCUUACUUGCUGGGUUUGGCUCAUUUACACAGGGCUGUUAGUUUCAGUGAAGCAGGUGAACUGCUGGAGCUGGGACCUUCUGGAGUUAAGGGGCCCCAGGUAGGUUUCUGUCUCCACCCGCCGCCCUGACCUCAGGUGAGGUCUCACUCAGGUGGGAGUUAGAUAAUGUUGCUCUGUGCUUUGGGGCCUUUUUGAUCUUCCUUAAUAAGUUCUGUGCAACUCUGCCUCUUAAAAGCAGGUGAAUUCACGUCGGUGUGGGUUCAUACGCUGUGUGGAAAGCAGACUCCUCUGGUGUGGGUAGCGGUCAGGGCUCUCCAAGACACUGAACACCCAGAGCCCGUCUCACGAGCUGCCGCCGCGGGUGACAGUAGGACCGUGUGCCUGCUGGCUGUUGCAUAAACGCAAACAGGAAGGCGCUCUGUCUCUCCACCCACCUUGGCUUAUGUGGAAGGUUCAAGAAAGCACAUUGUCUCGCCCUUGUGGGCUCACAGCUGAAGGGUUCCAACUUAGAAAGCAGCAAGCCACGCUGAAUCUAAUCUCAUGAGAAUCACGUCUUUCCCCCACUUUUUCUUAUUCCAUAUAAGCAUCUCUUAAGAAAUCAGUUUCAAAAUCCUCUAAAAAGCUAAGCUCGAGAGAGUUUGGGGAAGUAUAUUGUUGAACAGGACAGAGGGCAAGGACGUGGAGGAGA